CAGAUCGUUACUUAUUUAAAUGUUUGUUUCAAGAAAAUAGAAGUGGAUCUUGUUUUACUUACCGAUUUUAACAAUUUCUUCAGUGUUCUGUCUCCUUAAGAAAAACACGCUUUUAAAAUGGUGAAUACGAAGUACGAGCGAAACGGAUGCUGUACUGGAACCCAUGACCACGACCUUUGGCACCGUACGACAACUACGACUUCCACCAGCGGAUUUGAAGUGGAGUCUACGCAAAGCGGAAGCCGCAUGCGAAAGCAGGUCACCGUCCUUCGAUGAAGAACUUUCCGAGGCUCCAUGACGUCCUCCUCGAGAUGGCUGCGACUGCGACUCUCCUGAAUCACACCCGGUACCCCGUGAACCUCCUCCUCCUCCUCCUCCUCCUCCUCCUCCUGCUCCGCCACUCCUCCCAGGGGAGCCACGAUUCUCCAAACAUCCCUGUGGACCGAUCGGUUUUAUAUUUUUUGUUAGCACGUUUUCCUCUUCUUUCUCUCUCUCUUUUUCUUUUUUCUCUCUCUUUCUCUCUAUCUCUAUCUUUAUUUCUGUCCCUAUCUCUAUCUCUUUCUCUCUCUUUCAUUCAUUCUCUCUCUCUCUCUCUCUCUCUCUCUCUCUUUCUAUCUCCCUACCUCUUUCUCCCUAUCCCUUCUCUCUUUCUCUCUAUCUCUCUUUCUAUCAGUCAUUCACGAUUUCUGGUUCAUUUCUUAUCCUCGAGAAAGGUUAAUUUCGCUUUUACGGUCACCCUUAUAUUGCGAACGACCGAUCUUCCUAACGAGUAAUCUUAUCGCGAGAGGGAUAUUAAGACGAUGGCUAUAUCCUAUAACCAUUUCUAUAGAUAUUGCCUGGUUAUGAAUUUUCAUCGUUAUCGAUUGAUUCAAGCCGUGUGAUACGAAACGAUUUGAUGUUACAAAUAUGUGGUAUGUGAGAACGUAAUGUAAUAACUUCUUUCAAAAGUUUUAGUAGAUUUAGAGUUUGCUUACUGUAGAGAUUCUUGCGGAUUUCUUACUCCAUGAAUAAAUCUUUGGGUCAUGGUUUCUCUUGGAACGAUUCACGUUCUUAAAUAGAAAUUUUAACGUCGAGAUAGAACGUUUACGUAAGGAAACAUACGUAAUAUAUUUUUCAUAAAAUUACGUUAAAAAUUUAUCUCUAAAUAUAAUUAUUAUUAAUCUAAUUAAUCAUAUUCGUAAUAGGUACUUUUUCUGGUCGGGGAAGUUUAUUUGAAAAUUUUUGAAACGAUUUCAAAUCUUUUUUUUUUUUUUUCUUUUUGAGAAAACUAUAGGAGACAAUCCACGUAACUAGGAUUAAUUCUGCGUUUAAAUAUUGUUACUUAUUGAACUUGUACACAUUUUCAUAAUUAAAAAGUAGAAAAGGAACACGAACAUUAAGAAAGUAAAAAGAAAAAGACAGUUAUCUAAUUUCUAUUUUCCAUUUAUAUUACCAUUAUAUACUAUUAUAUUGCCAAUUAUCUAUCCGUAUCUUAAAUUACAUUAAAUGUUCCAUUAAAAAUCCGUACUCUAAUAACAAAAUAAAAAAAUACAAAUAUCUUUAUCGGGAUUCGACGACUUUCUAAUCCCAUCUUGGCUAUUGAUCGUAUGUGCUGGAAAGGUCGGAUGCGACUUUAAAAAUUAUUAGAAUGGAGAAGACAAGCCGAUCGUGUGGAAAAAUUCUCAUCCCUUAUCUGGUAUAUCGACCUGUAUCGAGGUUCGCAUGAGGAAGAUAAAGCUAUUCAUAAUUGAAAAAAAAAUAAAGAAAAAGAAAGAAAAAAGAAAAAAGAUGAUGAAAGCACAGAGAAAGAAAGAGAAAGAGAGAGAGAGAGAAAAGAGAGAAAGAGAGAGAGAGAGAGAGAGAGAGAGAGAAGAAUUAAUCUGUCUCUAUUCUCGGUAGCAUCGAGAUAACCGUUUACGAGGACGCCGGAAUGCGAUUACCUUUUCGAUUAAAUGUCUCGCGAGCUGGAUAGAGCUAUGCACGUGAUUGGGUACCGCUAUUAGCAAGAAACACGAUUUCUUCCUUCCAUUCCUUCCCUUUUUUUUAAUGAGGCGUCCCGAUAAAUUCGCCAUCUUCGAGACUAGCCGCUCCUCCCCCGUUACGAAUGAUUAUUGUCGUUCGACGUGUUUUACGAUCUACGGAAAUGGUAGGUUUCGUUGGUUCGAAAUUAUUCAUUUAAUUUAUCGAUUCAUUUAUCGGGGAAUGUGAUCAAUUAAAAAGGGAAAAGAAAAUUACCAAGAUAAAAAAGCUGUAAAAAGUAGCAAUUAAUAGAUCGAGUGAGAAAUUAAUAUAUAAAGAAAAAUGAUUCAUUGGUUUGUUUAUUAUGUAUGAUUCAUAUCAGACACUUCAUUCUUAUGAAGAAGUAUAUUUUUCCAAAAGUAUUGCAAAAGAAAUGUUAAAAACAUUUUUAAUAAUACAGAUUAUAAUCGAGUGUCAACGCUCGAUGAGUUUCAUCGCAUUCAACUUUAUAAUUAUUAGUUUGUAUAAUAUUGUCUUAUCUGCUAAAGUUAUGAAGUACUUUCAGAGGAACAAAAGGAAUCGAUAGUACCAUUUUGAAAUUUAUUUUAAAAGGAAAUAUAUAUAUAUGUGUGUAAUGAUAUUGUUACUGUAAAUAUAACUUCGUAUAGAAUUUGAUAUUAAAUUGUUUUAACGUUACAAAAGAAUCAAUCUUUAAAAAAGUUCAUCGAACCUAAUAAUUAUUUUCUUUACUUUAUUCAUUCGAAAAGGGACGAGAUAAAUUUACGAAAAUGAGAACAAUAAUCAAUAUUAAUAUUCGUCGAUGUAUGAUAGAUAAAAAUUCCACAAUGCACAUAAACUUAACAAUUCGACGAUAUGGAAAGAAAAGAAAAGAAUAUAUGCUAUAACAUGCAACAAAUUUUCUUUUUCUCACGGGAAACAAACGAGGAUACGAGAGUUGGUUGCUUUACUACGGAGAAUAGGUAGAAAUAUAAAAUAAUUCUCUUUACAAAAGAAACAACUUAAAUAAAUAAAAACGACAAGUCCCUGUAGUAUUGCGAGUUCGUAACAUUCCGAAAAACAUAUUUCAAUUUCUUUAAAUACUAACACGAAAAAUAACAUAUUCUCUUCGAACGAUAAAAUUCUGUCCUUUGCAUUUAUGUAUCUCGGGGGGAUGAACGCACACGUGCGGUAUAUCGAAAGAGAAAGACAGAGAGAGAGAGAGAAAGAGAGAAAGA